AUGCAAGUCGAGGGGCAUCAGUUUGGUUUGCUUGCAAACCAAAGCUGGCGACCGGCGCACGGGUGAGUAACACGUAUCCAACCUGCCUCAUACUCGGGGAUAGCCUUUCGAAAGAAAGAUUAAUAUCCGAUAGCAUAUAUUUCCCGCAUGGGUUUUAUAUUAAAGAAAUUCGGUAUGAGAUGGGGAUGCGUUCCAUUAGUUUGUUGGCGGGGUAACGGCCCACCAAGACUACGAUGGAUAGGGGUUCUGAGAGGAAGGUCCCCCACAUUGGAACUGAGACACGGUCCAAACUCCUACGGGAGGCAGCAGUGAGGAAUAUUGGUCAAUGGACGCGAGUCUGAACCAGCCAAGUAGCGUGAAGGAUGACUGCCCUAUGGGUUGUAAACUUCUUUUAUAUGGGAAUAAAGUGGUCCACGUGUGGAUUUUUGUAUGUACCAUAUGAAUAAGGAUCGGCUAACUCCGUGCCAGCAGCCGCGGUAAUACGGAGGAUCCGAGCGUUAUCCGGAUUUAUUGGGUUUAAAGGGAGCGUAGGCGGAUUGUUAAGUCAGUUGUGAAAGUUUGCGGCUCAACCGUAAAAUUGCAGUUGAUACUGGCAGUCUUGAGUGCAGUAGAGGUGGGCGGAAUUCGUGGUGUAGCGGUGAAAUGCUUAGAUAUCACGAAGA
rnacentral:rRNA from 1 species